rnacentral:lncRNA from 1 species
GAAGCCAGGCCAAGAAGAAUCCCAGGACUGGAAGGCCUUGUGGGACGUCCCAGGUUUGUCUUGUGUCAAUAGCACUGAUACUCAAUCUCCUACUCCCAUCUGUGAGCAUGCAGACCCUACUUGCCUUCCCACAGCCUCCCUUUUCAUAUUUUUCAUGUUUCUUUAGCUCUGUCUUCAAGCCUUGUUGCUCCCGCAAAAAAACCUGCCUCUUCCUCCAGUCCUCCCAAGCAGGGGGAACAGUCCUGACACCUUUCCAAGCCCUGGUCCAUGGACAUUGUGCCCCCUUCUCCCUGCCCAUGGUGACCUGCUCCAAAACCCUCAAGGAGAAGGGAGUGUAUGUCAUUUCCUCCCUGUAAAGUAAAGAUAAUUUUGCAGGGGACUGUGUGGAUGAAAUGACAUGAUGCAUGGAAAUCCCUUAGCGUGUGCCUGGCAUGUAAACUGCAGGUGUCAUCAUUAUUACUGAGGAAUACUGAGUCCCGAACAUGGCUGUCUCAUUGGUGGACUGGGGUCUCCCCCAGGGCAUUCAUCUACUAUGUGUUUAUUGCACCCUUUUUCCAUGUGAGGCACAUGCCAGGGACUGGGCACAUGGUAUGAACAAGACACAGGUCAUCGGUGUCCUCUUGAGCUCCCUGGCUUGGCAGCAGAUGCAUACCUGGGAAGGAUGCUAGGUCAUCCGGGAACUCUACCUCCUUCAAAUCCCUAAGGACUGUGCUCCCAAUCCGCUUACGCUCAAGGAAGAACUGCCUGGAAGCCCUCCCUGGUACCAUACCCCAGCCGAUGAGUAUGUACCCCCAGAAGUACUUCCGCUCAGAGAAGAAGGAGACGGCAAGCAGGGUGUACAGGAAGGCCCAGAACCAGCCUGCUGUCAGGAUCAGAACAAAAGAGGAGGACUGCAUAUGUAUGGACCCACUCCAGAUGGCACGGGGACGGGGGGAGUAGGAAAAGUGGCAUGAUGAGGAAAUGGAGGCACAGACUGAUUAGAAAACCAGCUCAAGGUCAUGUUGCUGGGCUCUCUGGUGGAGCCUCUGUCUCACAGGUCACCUGCAGGCCAACACUCCCAGAAGCAGCUAGCACCAUGGUUGACCUCGUCCAGGUCCAGGGAAGGCCUCCCUCUCCAGGACUCCUUUAGAUUUCCCCAGCAUCCAGACCUCACCUGCCUAAGUGCUGUUGCCCUGGAAGCCACAGUGAGCACGAGCUCCAUCUUGCACCUUUACCAGCCAAUGGGGGUAAAGACAUUAGCUGAAAUACUUCUAAGGGGCCAGGCGUGGUGACUCAUGCUUGUAAUUCCAAGCACUUUGGGAGGCUGAGGCAGGUGGAUCACCUGAAGCCAGGAGUUCAAGAGCAGCCUGGCCAACAUGGCGAAACCCUGUCUCUACUAAAAAUACAAAAUUUAGCCAGGCAUGGUGGCGGGAGCCUGUAAUCUCAGCUCCUAGGG